GGUGGCUCAGUGGCAGAGCGCUUGCUUUGCAUGCAUGAGGCCCUGGGUUCGAUUCCUCAGCACCA
rnacentral:tRNA from 1 species